rnacentral:tRNA from 1 species
UGUUCCUGCCCGGGAUCGAACCGGGGACCUUGUGCGUGUGAAGCACAUGUGAUAACCACUACACAU